AGAUGCGAUCAUAAUAGCACUAACGCACCAGAUCCCAUCAUAACUCCGAAGUCAAGCUUGCUUGGGCAAGAGUAGUACUAGGAUGGGUGACCCCCUGGGAAGUCCUCGUGUUGCAUCCC
rnacentral:rRNA from 1 species